ensembl:lncRNA
AGUCUGAGCCGGCACCCCCGGCACGCAGCCCUGCGUGUGGGCGCUGAAAUAGGACACCUCGUCCCUCAUCACGGCCGGCCGGAGGACGUAGCCGCACCCGCCGUUCUGGGAGAAGCGACCCCUGUGGAGGUCCAGCAUGGCGCCGGGGGUCUGCUGGUUCAAGGCCACGAGCUGGACGCCUCCUUUCCAGUAGCCCUGCGGGUUGGGGUUACUGGAGUCCAGACGCACCGAGCUGGGCCGCACCCUCGUCAGGGUGCGCUUGGUGAACAUCACCAGGUCCUCCGGGCUCUCCGUGGUCAGGCGCCCGGCCUCUCCCUCGCCCAGGGAGCACAGCGUCCAGGAUGGCGCCUCGGAAGGCGGCGGCGGCGGGCCGGGGGAGCAGCGCUGGCACAAGUACACCAAGAGCGGGUACUGCGAGGUCAGGAAGGCGUACUUGCUGACCACCUCCAGGGCGGAGCGGAGGGUGACGGGCGCGUGCUGGUGCUGGUGGUGGUGGUGGUGGUGGUGGUGGUGCUGGUGGGGGAUGUCCGGCCCGUGGUCGACCCCGAGGAGGGGCUCCCCCUCCGGGCCGUCGGUCACUCCCAGCUCCACGCAGCGACAGCCGGACCGCAGAGCCCUGAUCAGCCCUCCGAGGUCCGCUCUGCCGUGCACCUGGUCCUCCAGCAGGUAGGAGCGGUACGAGGUGCUGGGGGAACGAGACCACCGAGCGACUUCACUCACAGAUGCUCGGCCACGCACAAGAGCUUUACAAAAACAAUGCAAAUGGUGAACCGACCUGAUGUAGUAGUGGGACAGAGGCAUGUUCAUGUCCUGGCAGACCCCCAGGUGCUCCGGGUCGAGCAGCUGGCACUCCGGGGACUGCAGGUAGCGGGCGAAUCCGUCCAGGCCCAGCAGCCCCUUCUCCUUGCCCUGGGCCGAGGGCUCGCAGCGCCGCAGGAUCUCCCAGCAGCCCUCCGCGGUCGCCAGGGACAAGCCCUGCUCCGUCUCCAGGAAGAGACGCAGGUCCUGCGGGUCCAGACACUCCCGGUCUUUGGACAGCUGCACCAGCAGGAAGUAGACGUCCGGGCGGGUGCAGAGCUCGCAGAAGGCCUCGUGGAACUCCUCUCGGGUCACGUGGGAGGUGAGCUUCUCCUUGCUGCGCUGGAUCUCCUUAAAGCGCAGGCGCACCUGAGGAGGGACGAGAAGAGGGUUUAUUGGAGCUUAAUUAAAACUGGAGUUACCUUGUUUCAGCGAAGGAUAUUAGGAAAACGCCUCAUUCAACGAUAUUAAUCAUCUCCUUCCUUCGCCUGCUUCCUCUUCUUCUCUCUUUAUUAGUUCAUCUUGCUCUCCGCUCAGUGCACGCCUGCAAUAAUCGACAGUCCUAACUUAAUACGGCUCGGGCUUAUUCCUGAUUAAUAUCCAAUAAAUGCACGUCUCAUUUCGUUUAUGUACCAGACGUUGGUGACAUUUGGUGGGAUCUCCGAACACGAGGGAUGAAAACGUUCUGCUCCACCAAUUACAGGAACAAACCUCCCCGGCCGUGGCUGUUGCCGCGGUGACGUCCAGUCAUCACCAAACGAUAAUUCUCUCCUUGUUUAUCAAUUAGAGCAACGUCUUUCUACUGCAAAUGGCUGAUAAUCUGAUCAAUCGCGCAAAAGUGCUUUGAAUAUCAACUUGAAAUAAGAAAACCAUUUGUGCCACGAACCCCCCCAGUCUGCAGAGCGCGUGCUGACUCGUUCACCUUUGCUUCCUUGAUGCCGGGGCAGAGUUUACAGAUGGUGGCGACGGCCACGUCCUCCGACACGAUGCCGUAGCCGUCCUCGUCCACCUGGGCGAACUCCGCCGCCAGCCACUCGCUCCUCAUCUUCCCUCCCGGGCUGCCGUCCACCGCCAAGCCGCCCGCUCCUUCACACAGGCCCCCAUCCCUCCCGCCGGCCCCGAUGACCGAGGGGUGGGCCAACAGGUAGCGGAGGCCCGUCACCCAGAUGUUGGCCACGUCUGCCGACAACGCCACCAGGUCCAGGGGCUGGGGGGAGGGGGGGGGGGUAGAGGGGGGGGGGGGGGGGGGCAACAGGCUGGAAGGGAAUCCAGCGCGGGAUAAAUCGUACCUGGUAAUCCUCCCCGUGGAUGACCGAGAAGGCCGCCUCCUCGGCCAGGUGCUCGGUGAGGGGGCCGUUGUGCAGGAAGGUCUCGGUGCUCUUCCCCGUGCGGACCUCCCGGACCCUGGAGACGUCCAGCCGAGCGCGCUCGCUGUCCUUCUUGGACGGCUCCCAGCGCAGGCAGCUGAGGUCGGGGUCCAGCGUGUAGAAUCGGCAGUAGACCCUGGAGUUGGGCCGGAUCUUCUUCAGCUCACAGCCGCCCUGCAUGAAGGCCAGGCAGUCUGCGGCGCUGCUCACCUGGUGGGAAAAAACGCGCAACUUUAUCGUCUUUUCCCUCUUUGGCAUCGCGCGGCGCGAGUCCGUCACGGUGAGCUACCUUCUUCUCAGACGGCAUGCUGCUGAAGGAGACGGUCUUCUUCCGUCCUCCGCCAACCUUCUGCACCGAGGGAUCCUGUGAGAAGGCAAAGACAGACCAUGGAGAUCAUCCUCCACCAAAUACAGUUCUUCAGUACUACAAAAGACCGUCAGAAAUGUAUUAUAUUAUUGAUAUAGAGGUAUACAACAUUCAUGGACAUUUCAGAGGGAAAUGUGGAUGUAUAAUUAACACAGCAGCUCGUGGUGUGUUCACAUUUAGAUCCUGCAGCUAUGAAUUCAAGAGAGAGAGACUUUUCCAUCUGCUGCCUGUGAAACGUGUUACGAAAACACACUAAAAAGGCACGAAAGAACCUUUUAAAACAAACUGCAGAUAAAAGCGUUCAAUUGUUACAGAAGUCUCCCAGAAGACGCGACACAAAGUAAAGUAAAUAUCGUUUUGAAGCGAGUUUUGACACUUUUUUGUCCUUUGUUUUUAAGCAGACACUUAAAACACCCCCUACUGGCCCUAAUUUUAACUCAGCAGUCUCUUCCUUUCACUUUGUGAUCUCCGUCUCUAAAUUGGGACAGAAUGGAUUCCAUUUUUUUCCCUUUCUGCUCUUCGCAUCCCGACGGGAAGCUUUUCAGCCGAAAUCAUUUGUUAAUGGACAGGAAACGUAGCCGCAGCCAUCGUGAGCUUGUGAGACUUCCUUGCAGUCAAAGUCUCUGUUACUCUCUGUUUCAGUGGACGUAAAAUCAAAGGUACAGUCGGAUAUUUUACCCCCACAGAUGAGUUUCAAUCCUCUUUGCUACACAAUCGCGUGUUGAUUUCCUAACACCCCCCCUGCACGCCGAGGCACACGGAUUGGACUUGUUUCUGUCCUCGUUGUGUCCGUCCCCGCCGACCCAGCGGGUCCACGCGGCCCCACGCAGGGGGGACUGCGGCGGCGUCCUCUAAAAGCUUUUAAUGCAGCGCUACUCUGUCAUCUAUCGGUUAUAAUCCACGGGCCUUUUUUUUUUUUAAGCCACAUCUCUCUCUCUCCGUCUCCGGGUUGGUUUUCAUUUUAUACGCUCUCUCCGUCACUAAGCCGCUGCCGGGUGAAAAAAAGAAUCUCCCAGCACAGACGGAGAGAUGGGAGCAAAAGGCCGCGGGGGAAAGAAGAGCGGAAACCCGAGGAAAAAAGGUCAGAGGAGACAAAAUAAAAAUGGUGUUAUUAUGUAUGUUUGUUUAAAUACACCGCAAAAUGAAUGAAAGGACAGAGGUGGGAGAUGAAAAGAGCGCCCGAGAUGCGACACGUGGGAGCCGAGGUGGAGUGGCCGAGGAACAACAGGUCAUUGUGCUGAAGGGUUUUACAGCAGCUGGCGCUUCACUUCUGUGAAGAGGGACACAGACGCAGCUUCCAUCAUUCACAUGGCGAGACUCGUAUUUCCAAAUAUGACCAGAGAGCCGGAGCCAAAGCAGAGUCCUCGCCCUUUUUCUCUCUGUGGACCUCGACGGACAGAUUCAUCACUUCGCGUUGAAAAGAUUGAACGUGGAUCUGAAAACAACAGCCGUUAAUGGGGAUUAAAAAAACCUCUUUUCAAUGCGAAUAUUCUUGUGUUUUCAUCCUUGAUGGCUUUGUUUCGUUCCCGCAGGUCGCUACUUUAACGCGAGGGUGCGCACGCCUGCAAAAAAAAAACACACAGCGGCGCCUUUGUCUCGCCCCGCUCGGCGACCUUCAGCGGCCGGAAAAAAAACCCGAUGGACGUGGAAAUCAAUGCACGGCUGGAGUCCGCUUCCUGCACGCAGCCCAUCGGCACCAAUCGCUGCACUCGGCCUCGAUGUUUCCAUCCAUUGAUAGAAACCUGUUUAUACAACUUGUUAACCUCGUGCAUGAUACGCACACACGCACACGCAGACUGCUGAACACGGCAGACCAACACCUGGCAGUUGCAUAAAUCCAGUCCCAAUCUGAUCCCCAUGAUCUGCCUAAUAAUCCCUGUGCACAUUGGCAGAAGAUUAGCACCAUAGAUUACAGCGCUGCUGCAGCCUUACAGCGGUUAAUCCGCAGCAGAGGUCGCCGUGCAUCAGUCAGCACAGCGGCGCCCCGCUAUUGAUUAUCAAUCGAGGUGUUUCUCUUUACGUUCAACGGUGUGAAAACCCAUAGCGGCGCCCCCGCGCGAGCCUCAAAUGGGAAAAACAGCGACUCGCUUCAGUCGGCGCAGGUGGAACUAAUGCGGUGAACAAUGGCUCAGUUCAGUAACCCAGUGACUCGGGACAGGGAGCCAACGUGAGCGUAACCAGCUGCUCCAAGCGGCCGCUCGUUUUCACCCACGAAUUCCAGUUUAAACCAAAUACAAAUAAUUGUGUUCACGCAGGAGCUGUUGGAAGAGCGGACGAGGUGGGACACGUGAGAUUACACACACGUGUAGACAAAUCAGUAUCGUCGGCCACAGACACAGGAAGCUUUUUCAUUGAUUGACAAGACCUUCCUCUAACUCAUCAAAACUAAAAAAACAGACUCUUCUGCAACGAGAAAAACAAACAUUGACCUCUUGAUUGGGGCCCUUUUUCUGCCUCCUCGCUCUCCAGAAUAGAUGAUUUAGAAAACCAGCUGUUGUGGUUUUGCCAAGACGAGUUAUUCUGAAUCACGAGCGCGCCGCCAACUCUCUUUUUGCCCACUUUGCGUUUUUUGCUGGUGCUCGAAAAGGUCAAAACAAGGACGCAGGUCAAAAGGUCAAAACAAAGACAACGCGGCGGCUGUCCGAUUCAAUGUCGCUCAAUUCCUGCACAAGUCGGCCGGAUCCUAAUCAACACAAACGCACUUUGAUUGUGUGCAAACCGCAGCGCGACCACGAGCAGCCCGACCAGCUCUGCUGUGACCUCCACCCCAAGUUGUCUGUGAAUAAUGUGUUUGUAACCGCCGAGUGUGUGUGUCUGCGUGUGUGUGUGUGUGUGUGUUUCACUCUGGAAAAUGGGAACUGAAGGAGAUCAGAAGUCGUAUUUCAGUUAUUCCUUUUCGGCGACAUCCAGCGGCACAACUUGGAUAUUCAUGUUUUAAAGUUUGACAACAAUUUGUGUGUAAUUGACCGUCUAAAAACCGUCAUCACAGACCACAUCUGGUAAACAGAGGGACAAAAUAACAUUUUCCUGUAGCAUCAGUCAACAUAAAUGUAUGUUGGGGGACGACAUAACGGCGAAAAGACUACUUUAAUCUGCCCCUUAUUUCAUGAUGACUAACGCCGACUGAACGUGCACGUUUCUGCUCGGAUCGUUAUUAUUAUUAUCAGUGUCCGACGGCCAUUAAAUAAUGUGCUUCACUCCCCUAAAUGCUAGCUGGGCCAUUAAAAGGGUUUCAGAGAACAGCUCUCAGGCACGUGGGAGAACUUUAUAUUAAAAGAGUGGUUUUAGUAAUAUAUUUCACAUUUUACACCAACAACUCAAACAAUGUUGUAUAGAUUUUCAUUUCUGGGAAAGAUGUUUUCCUGCAGCGACCAGCAGAGUCAUUUCAAUCACAGCACCACACACACACACACACACACACACACACACACACACACACACACUCACACACACACACACA